rnacentral:rRNA from 1 species
UGCAGUCGAACGCUGAGCACCAGCUUGCUGGUGUGGAUGAGUGGCGAACGGGUGAKUAAUACGUGAGUAACCUGCCCUUGACUCUGGGAUAAGCCCGGGAAACUGGGUCUAAUACUGGAUGCUACAUGUCACCGCAUGGUGGUGUGUGGAAAGGGUUUACUGGUCUUGGAUGGGCUCACGGCCUAUCAGCUUGUUGGUGAGGUAAUGGCUCACCAAGGCGACGACGGGUAGCCGGCCUGAGAGGGUGACCGGCCACACUGGGACUGAGACACGGCCCAGACUCCUACGGGAGGCAGCAGUGGGGAAUAUUGCACAAUGGGCGAAAGCCUGAUGCAGCGACGCCGCGUGAGGGAUGACGGCCUUCGGGUUGUAAACCUCUUUCAGCAGGGAAGAAGCCACAAGUGACGGUACCUGCAGAAGAAGCGCCGGCUAACUACGUGCCAGCAGCCGCGGUAAUACGUAGGGCGCAAGCGUUGUCCGGAAUUAUUGGGCGUAAAGAGCUCGUAGGCGGUUUGUCGCGUCUGCUGUGAAAGCCCGGGGCUUAACCCCGGGUGUGCAGUGGGUACGGGCAGACUAGAGUGCAGUAGGGGAGACUGGAAUUCCUGGUGUAGCGGUGGAAUGCGCAGAUAUCAGGAGGAACACCGAUGGCGAAGGCAGGUCUCUGGGCUGUUACUGACGCUGAGGAGCGAAAGCAUGGGGAGCGAACAGGAUUAGAUACCCUGGUAGUCCAUGCCGUAAACGUUGGGCACUAGGUGUGGGGGACAUUCCACGUUUUCCGCGCCGUAGCUAACGCAUUAAGUGCCCCGCCUGGGGAGUACGGCCGCAAGGCUAAAACUCAAAGGAAUUGACGGGGGCCCGCACAAGCGGCGGAGCAUGCGGAUUAAUUCGAUGCAACGCGAAGAACCUUACCAAGGCUUGACAUAUACCGGAUCGUUCCAGAGA